GGGGUUGUGGCUCAGUGGUAGAGCGCUUGCCUCAUGUGUGAGGCACUGGGUUUGAUCCUCAGCUCCA
rnacentral:tRNA from 1 species